rnacentral:tRNA from 1 species
UACAUUUUAGUGUAUAGUGCACAAGAAUUUUUGAUAUUCUUAGUAUUAGUCUGAUUCUAAUAAAUGUAU